rnacentral:misc_RNA from 1 species
UUCCAUUGCAAAAUUUACAUCCUGUGUAAAGUCGAGCAGCCGAAGAAAAUUUGAGUGGUUUCGUGCACCAAUGACAGGGUUUCCAGCAACAUGAGAAAUUGUACCCUUGGAUAUCAUAGCCUUAUCAACUGUUGCUUGAUUAUUUAAGUUAUCAAUGUCUGAUGCUGAUGACGAUGGUGAUUCACCUUGGGAAAAAGUUUGUAAGCAUGCUUGCAACUCAUUUCGGCAUAAGCUAGAAUUUUUGCAGUUAACUACCCUCCAAUAUGCAAUUUCCAUGCAUUUAUAUGCCAAAGAAGCAGCUGCCAUUUCAUGCCGUCUUUCAUAUUCUAAGGCACAGCAUUCGCAAAGUUUAGCUGUAGUGCUGUACAUUUGUAUUUGAGUCACCUCUCCCUGUCUGCCUGCAUCAUUGCAAGUUUCCAGAAGAGAAGCUCCAUGAAGAAACAUUAGAGCAGCUUGGAAGUUUGUUUCAUUACUCUCAAAACCAAACCCAGAGAUCUUAAGACGAUCAGCGUAAUCUCUCAUUUUUUUGGCUUCUUUCAGGGCAUUACUAGCAGUUUGGCUAGAGGAAUUUGUUCUCCCAGUACUUGAAGCAUUAAGAUCUCUGGCCCCUUUCAUAUCAAGCAUACAGUGACCCAAACUUUGGCGAGCUCCAUUGUUGGUCCCAGGAUUUUCCAGGUUUUUUGAUACCUUUGACACAUCAUCAUUUCCAGAGACAUAACACCAACGCCUGACAGAUGCUCCUUCCUGCUGGGAGGUUGGUGCUGAUUGGUGACUACUCUCAUGCUUAGCUUCCUGCCCAGAAUGUGCAGCUAAUUUUUUAGUCCCACUUCUUGAAUCUCUUUGCAUAGGAUCCAGUUUAGUUUCACCGUCAAAAUCCUGGAUCAGGUUCUCCGGUGUGGCAGUGUUCCACUUCCUGAUGCGUACAGCACUCAAUUUUGCAUCUGAAUCAGCCCGCUCUCCUAGUUUUGAUGGAUUCUCCAUUCUGCCAUCUUUUGAGCAUUGUCCUAUAGAAUCACUCAGGCUAACUCGAACCUUCUCAUCCUUAUUUGACUUGCUGCUAGGCUUACUAGGAAUACCAUGUUUAACAUUGUUCAUUCUUUUAAGCAAGGAUGCACGAGAUCUUGGAUCAAUCUCUGACUCAUUCCUUAUGCUCUUCUUUGAAAAAUCACCAUGUGCAUUCACUGGUUCAGAAACCUUCAUCUCAUCUCUAUCAAAAUCAGAUGUAGAACUUCUAUCAUUGUCUUUCAACAGUACAGAUGAACCUUUACCAAAUUUCUGUGGAAACAACACAUUGUCAUGUUGGUUCUUAUCUUCUCUAUCCUCAUCAUGGCAAUAUUUGAUAGCAAGCAGACCACCAGAGCACUCACGACGUCCUGUGAUUUCAACACCACCAUUAAGCAAAUCAGAAGAACAUUUAGUUUGACCAAUUUUGUGACUCGCAUCUCCAUCCUGGUAAUCUAGCAGAAAAGGUUUACAGGAUUCAGGAUGAUGGUCACCGGAGACUUUCUCCUUCUUUGCUUUCCCAGAUUGAUUAAUCUGACCAUCACCUUCCCCAUCCCUGCAUCUUCUUCGUCCAUCAAUUACAGGAAGGCCAUCAUUUGUAGCAUUAUCUUUUGCUAGAAUAUUUCCUCCAGUUGAACCAAGCUUUUCUCCAAAUGAGGCCCUCAAAGGAGAUGACGAAACUGAUUCUACAGGUGAGCCUUUCGCAUCAUCAAAGGUUGCUCUUGUUUUAAGAGAACCUGAAACCUUCGAAGAGCUUGAGGUGGCUGUCAUUGGAAGUUGUCCAGGUCCACAAUCCUUUUUUGAUGAGUCUACAACAUCCAAAGUUAUUUGAGAUGCAAAAUUUCUUCUAUGUUUCCUUGUUUGCUCAUCCUUAUGAAUACUUUUUACAGCUUCCAUGCCAUCAUUUAGAUGAUCUUGACUUCCUACUGAUAAAACAGGACCCGCCUUCUCUUUUCUGUCUAAUUUAUCAUUGCAGUUAUUCAUACUGGAAGCCCCACUCUUCGAAACCCUGGAUUUCUUUUCCUUCUUUAAUCCAACACACUCACCUUUUUCCUUGGCAUUUAAACUGCUGUUGGCACCAUUCUGAUUGUCCUGCCACUCCCUCAAUUUCCUUUUCUUCAUAGAAAUAUUUAUUUUGUCACUUGUGCCCAUAUUCAAGGACCCACCAUCUGAUGACAUCUGAGUUCGGUCUCCCAACUUCUUCAUGGAAACUAGUAAUUUUUCCUUUCUAUCAAAUUUCAAAUCCCCUGAAAAAUGCUCAUUUGAUUUGCACACUUCUUUUCCACUUGCUUUAGUUGAUAACCCACUUUUUGAAUUUAGACCCAUCCUGCCAAGGUCCAUAUCAGAAUUAUGAUAUUUAUCAGUAUGGGAUGCAUUCUCAGUCUUAGUUUUCUCAGAAGUCUCAUAUUCAUAAUGAUCAGUCUCCCUCUUGUUUUUCAUUUUUAUCUGCUUUGUGUCACCUCCAUCAAUAUGAUUCUCUUUCUGCUCCGCAACCAAGUUAUGUGACGUAUUCAAAGCAUGAAAAGUAGAUUUGUUCAUUUGAUUUGCUUCUGCAGGAGACUGGUUCAUAUCAUUUAAGCUUCUGCUUUUCACAGAUUCCUGCAAGUUGUACUGGUUCUUUGUCGAGUUCGAUGACUGGAUCAUGCCACUACUGCUACCUGCCUUCCCCAUUUUCUUCAUACCCCGCUUCUUCUUUCCUGGAAACAAAGCAGCAUGGGAAUCGAAACUUUGGUGGUUGCGGUCAACAUGUGGGUUAUGCACUCUAGAUGUAGUUCCACUGGCAUGAUUUUGCAGAUUAUUUUGACCAGCAGCAUAAGGAAGCUGAAACAAUGAAUUGAGAGCUUUUGUUGUCUCUUCCUCACUGAUGUCACACCGGUUCUUUCCAGGCAGCCAGUUUAGCAUAGUACACAGCCACUUUUCGGGGAGUUGAUGAGGCUUUAUGCCAUAGGGUAACAACCGCCACUUCUGACAACUGUCACAACAGACCCAAUUUUCUUCUAUAAGUAUAGGACCUGUAACAGGUGGUGCCACUUCAGAAGCAAGUGCAUUUUCAGGUAUUGAAGAGCCCACAUAUGCAACAUCUUUGACCAAUUCCCCAGGCAUCAGCUGGUCACCGACUCUUUUACCAUUAAAUCUUUCCCUUGACUUAUCAAAAGAUGCAUGUUGCUCCAUCUCGAGAUCUUCCAUUGUAGAUUCUUUCUGCCUACUAGCAUAAGGCCUCUCUGACAAACCCAUUUGACUAUUUUUCUGUUCCGAUUUCAAGUCCAAAGGAUCUCUAUGAUUAUCUCUGACCUUACUAAUGUCCUUCUGCAACUUCCACUUGUGCAUCUUAACUUUACUUUUAGAAACACCACAAGUAGCAGAAGCUGUAUCUUUAGGUGCUCCACUGUCACCAAUACCCAAGCUUUCCUUUGAGGGAACAGCAGCUGAUUUUUUGCUACUUUCAGUGCCACAUGACUUCUUGCCGUCCAACAAUUGCCUUUCCUUCCCACCAGGCACGGAGAACUCAUCUUGCUGAUCAAUCUUCUGUUUUGAAGAAGCCAGUGAUCCAACUUUAAGAUCUUCCUCGCAUUUGGAUGCAUCAAAGUAACCUUUUGAAAAAGCAGAAAGUUUACUUUUCUUGGAUUUACCAUUACCAUCACAACUAAGUGCUUUAUGUUCCAAAACCUUUUCUACUGAACUAUUCUGAGCAUUUCUCUUCUCACUCUUGCCACUGUCCUGGCCAGAUCUGGACUCUAAAGAGUCUUCCUUCAUGAAGUCAGAAGAAAACAAUUUAUUUCUUAUCCUACCCUGAUCAGCCUCCCUGGGAACUUCAGAUGACCAGCCAGUUGCUUUCAGAAUCUCACCACCAUUUGCUGUAACUGGUAGAGGCAUACUCUUCAAGUCACUAGAUAAAACGUCCUUGUUGUCUGCAUUGUCAUUUUCUAACUUUUUCUUGUCCGAAAAAGCUGUACUGUUCUCAAAAAUAAUACCAUUCCCACAUUUCAUAUCUACUGCUCUUUCACUCUUCCCUAAAAAUUCCACCUCAUUCCCCUUCAACAGUUUACCAUUACCCAUAAAAGAAAUCGAUUCAUCUGCCAAUAAGGCAAAAUUGUCUUGACUACCCUUAAGGGAAAGCGCAAGUUUACUGUCUCUAGAUAAUUUCUCCUUUCUUAUCAAACAAAGCAGACUCUCAUGAAGAGGUGAUAUUAGGGCAACCCCAGGGACUGGGAAGGAAAUCAUCGUCUGAAGAAUGCUAGUGGGAGACUCAUCUGCAAUUUGUUGGACUACAGGCAGCAUUCCAUCACUUUCCUCAGGACUGUUUCCCAAUGAUGAAGAUGGAGAGUUAUCAAGCCCAAGACCACUAUAAAUGGCAGCAUUUUUUCGUGCCACACUAUCAGGACCCACUUUUAUCCUAACCUUCAGUGUUCUUUGGUCAGAUAAAUUGCCUGCUUUAUUGGAGUUCCCAUCCUUCAGAUUAGACUCCCAAGAAAAUCGAGCAGAAGAAACGCUGGAAUCUUGCUUUACUGAAAAAUCCCCAGAUGCCAACCUUGACUUAUGCAAUGCAUUGGCACUGUAGGAAGCAGUUCCAAGCUUCACAGAUGGGAGAGCAUUGGAGGGAACUCUCAAACUCUGGGGGGCACCCUGUAUGGUAACAUAAUCCACAGUGCUCAAGUAAAAUAGAAUUGCCCAAGCUGACAAUAUCAGCCAUAUAUAUCACCAUUUUACCAAAUCAUUAAAAACAGGUGGAAAAUUUUCCAUAUACCUCCACAGGAAAACUAUUAGGAGAUCUUGGUGGGCUAGAGUUAUUUUGUGGAGUCUUUGGAUGUGAACAAGCAGAGUUUCUUUGUGGAGAUCGUUCAUAGGUAGGCAGAAAUGAGCCAUACCCACCAAAUUUAGCCCCCAAAUUCUCUGCAGAAACGCCUCCCUCAAAAUCCUUUUGAAAAUGGCCUAAAACAUUUUGUAUCUUCUCAUCAAUGUAAGAGAGAGCAAUCUCAGGGUCUACGUUGUUGUCGUCAUCGUCGUCCCUGCACCGGAAAGCCUUUCCUUCCUCAAGCUCAGAAUUCUCCUCCAUCCCCAUAAAUCCCAAAGAAAACCCUAAUCCUAAAAACCUAAUCCUAACCCCAAAACCCUAAGCGAACCUUCCCUAAAGUCCAGCAUCACCUCAACUCCUACAGAAAAAAUCCCACAAAAGCACUCAAAAAACCCACCAGAACCGAGGAACUAAAUCCCCUACUACCGACUUUGGCCUUGGCAUAUCACAAACCCUCAUUGAUUAAUAAAUAUUAUGAACCAAGAACGUUGAUUAACGAUUAAUUUCUAUAUCGGAACUCACGAUCGGGAGCAGAGAAUUGAUUGGAUAAUAAAUCAGAGUUUAAUCGAGCUCGACUCGGCCGGGUCACGGUGCCGAGUUCGAUUGGAUUCUAAAAUAUUUUAACUUCUCGCUGGUUUCUUUUGAUUGAUGCGUGCGGCAAUGGAAGCAACCUACUGUUUUUUUU